AUUGAACGCUGGCGGCAUGCCUUACACAUGCAAGUCGAACGGUAACAGGUCUUCGGACGCUGACGAGUGGCGAACGGGUGAGUAAUACAUCGGAACGUGCCCAGUCGUGGGGGAUAACUACUCGAAAGAGUAGCUAAUACCGCAUACGAUCUGAGGAUGAAAGCGGGGGACCUUCGGGCCUCGCGCGAUUGGAGCGGCCGAUGGCAGAUUAGGGAGUUGGUGGGAUAAAAGCUUACCAAGCCGACGAUCUGUAGCUGGUCUGAGAGGACGACCAGACACACUGUGACUGAGAUACGGCCCAGAAUCGUACGGGAGGCAGCAGUGCGGAAUUUUGGACAAUGGGCGACAGCCUGAUCCAGCAAUGCCGCGUGCAGGAUGAAGGCCUUCGGGUUGUAAACUGCUUUUGUACGGAACGAAAAAGCUUCUCCUAAUACGAGAGGCCCAUGACGGUACCGUAAGAAUAAGCACCGGCUAACUACGUGCCAGCAGCCGCAGUAAAAC
rnacentral:rRNA from 1 species